rnacentral:rRNA from 1 species
UACGGGGGGAGCAAGCGUUGUUCGGAUUUACUGGGCGUAAAGGGCGCGUAGGCGGCCACGACAAGUCACUUGUGAAAUCUCCGGGCUUAACUCGGAACGGUCAAGUGAUACUGUCGGGCUAGAGUGCAGAAGGGGCAACUGGAAUUCUCGGUGUAGCGGUGAAAUGCGUAGAUAUCGAGAGGAACACCUGCGGCGAAGGCGGGUUGCUGGGCUGACACUGACGCUGAGGCGCGAAAGCGUGGGGAGCGAACAGG